rnacentral:rRNA from 1 species
AGGACGAACGCUGGCGGCGCGCUUAACACAUGCAAGUCGAGCGAGAACCAGGGCUUCGGCUCUGGGGACAGCGGCGAACGGGUGAGUAACACGUGAGUAAUCUGCCCUCGACACUGGGAUAGCCCGGGGAAACCCGGAUUAAUACCGGAUAGCCUUUCGAGCUCUCGGGCUCGUCAGAAAAGGAUGGCUUCGGCUUUCGGUUGAGGAUGAGCUUGCGGCGGAUUAGCUUGUUGGUGAGGUAACGGCUCACCAAGGCGACAAAUCCGUAGCUGGUCUGAGAGGACGAUCAGCCACACUGGGACUGAGACACGGCCCAGACUCCUA